UAUAUGCAUAUAUGUAUGUUUGGAGUGUUGAGUUUUGGGUUAAUUUUGUUCUUGUUUUUUUUUUCUCACUGCCUCUCUCUUUCUCUUGCUCAGAGUUUGCUGGUUUCUAUCCUUCUCUCACGACCAGACGCAUGUUGUAGAAGAAACAAAAAGCUUUGGCAGAGGAAUGCAAAGAGUUUGCUUAUAAUGUUGACUUCCAAAAGAUCCUAAAGAAAGUGAAAGUAGUAAAGUGGAAACAAGUAUUAAUAGCAUGCCCUUAAACAUGGAGUAUUUCAAGCAACCAAGGAAUAAGGUUGUGGAUCGAAUUGGCAAGGAGGAUUGCAAAGUUAAUUAACUUGAUUAUCAAUUACAAGAGGUACGGAAAUAUGUUCUCUUAACUCUUUUAUUAAUAUCAUACAAAUGUUAGAGGAGUUUGAAUAUCUUAAAUAUUCAUUCGUAGAGAAGUAGAUUCUGAGAUUAAAAUUGUGUGCUGCGGUGAUAACGGAAGGUUGAAAACUUGUGUGUCUUAGAGAAGUAGGUUCUGGAAAAUUUGUUUGUGUGUUGCAGUGAUAUAAGGAAGAAAACUUAUUGUGUAUUGUUUGAAUUUUUUUACUUGAUAUUGAUAGAUGGUUAGGUAACCUUUAUAUUAAUUGAUCAACAAAUGUAAAAUCAAUCAUACUUGCCAAACUAUGAAAAUUAUAACAUUGAACAUUUACUAAUUCAAAUCUAAUAUAAUAUUCAAUUCAAACCAUAACUAUCACCACUAAAUAAAAUCAUUAGGUGAAGUUUUACAAUUAACAUAAGUCACAUCAAACUACUAAUCCUCCACAUAUUUUACAUAAAAAGUGAACAACAAAACAUAAUCAAAACACAUAAAAGUUUGAAGAUAGCUCCCAUCUAUUCCACGAUUCAUUAUGAUCUUAUCCCUAUUAUGGCUUUGGCGUGCCCAACUACAUAAUCUGCUAUCCCAUUUUGUAAAGAUGAGUUAAAUAAAAUAAAAAAAGAGUACAAGUAAUAUAAAUUAAUGGUAAGAAAAAUUUGUGAACUAAACAAAGAAAAUCCUAAUAACAUACAGGAGACAUGCUAAGUUGUUGU